rnacentral:misc_RNA from 1 species
CCCUCACUUUCGAUCAUUUGUUGCUCCACGAGAUAAACGUUGGACGCAAGACAUGGGUUCCUGUGUUGCAUACCUAUUGCGACGGAAAUGUGUGCCUUCGAUCGUCCCUUCCAUCACGGCGUCCUCACGGAUGCUCGGUUGGACCGGAUAGUGGGGCUCGUGUUCCACGAACGUCGUCUCAUUCGAUCGUUCGGAUGGACCACGGGUGCCCGCUCGUUCUCUCGGAUGCGGAACUCUAUUAAUGGGCGUGGGGUCAUUGGCCCUUGGUCCCUAAUCGUUAAGCGUCUAUCGCUUCACCGGAAUGACGAUCUCGCCUUGUCCUUGACCACGCGAAGCCCUCGGGCAUCGCGACGGAUCAUGCUCGGCGGACGUCGUGAAGGAAUGC